rnacentral:pre_miRNA from 1 species
UGGGGAGGGCCCAGAGAAUGCCAGGCACACCCAGCUCAGGCCUUUCUCUCUUUCCCUCCUCAGA